UCGAGAAUCUUCGGCAAUGGGCGAAAGCCUGACCGAGCGACGCCGCGUGCGGGAUGAAGGCCUUCGGGUUGUAAACCGCUGUCAGAGGGGAUGAAAUGCUGAUGGGUACUCCCGUUAGCUUGACUGAUCCUCAGAGGAAGGGUGGGCUAAGUUCGUGCCAGCAGCCGCGGUAAGACGUACCACCCGAACGUUAUUCGGAAUCACUGGGCUUAAAGAGUCCGUAGGCGGCUCGGAAAGUUGGAUGUGAAAU
rnacentral:rRNA from 1 species